ensembl:lncRNA
AUGAUGGAAGGGCCAUGGUUUCCGAGUAGGAGCAUUCAGAUCCCGGUGCCGAACUUGUGGACGUUCAAUCAGAUCUUCACUCAGCUGCUCAGCAGAGCAAACAGGGGAGCAAGUGCUGAGAAAACUGAAGUCCAGGAAAAUCAACGGCCAACUUCAAAGUCAACAGCAAGAUGUAGAGACAAAUCUAGAGGCCCAAGGACAAUGCCACCCUGCUGGGACUUCACUGGGUGUCAGCAGCCUUGGUCAGGGGUCCUCGCCUGCUUUGAAGAAUGCUACAUAGAAGGGAGCAGAGGAGAAAUGGACAAACUGAAAGAUGAAGACUUUGGAAGUGGGGCAAUCUUCAUGAUGGGUCUGGGUUCUAUGCAUCUCUGGGCAAAGGGCAGAGCUGGUCAGAGUCCUAUUGCAUGUAAGGGGGCAGGCCCAGCUCAUUGGGUCAGCUCAUUUGCUUCUGUCCACAAUCCACCUUCCCCUAAGGCCAGCCAUGCCCGUUGGCCACUUCGUUUGAGGAUGACUGAGCAGGCUGCAGGAUCUGAGAUGUGGGGAGUCCUGCAUCCCAACUAAUGCCAGGACACCCCUGUGACACCCUGCCCUUACUCACCCCGCCUGGUGAGCUGCUUAGCCAGCGAGGUAGACCUGGCCCAGGAGGAGGAGGAGGACCAGACUGAGCUCAGUUGCUGAUGUUGGCAACGCUGCCAGCCCAGGCAGAGUGAUGGCCAUCACCCUGAGCCAGGCCAUGUGGAGGGGCAGAAAGAAUCUGAAGAUGUCCACCUUGUGCCUGGAGUCUGGGACAGUGGCCCACACUCCAAUGCUCCAAGAGGCACUCACUUGGGCCAUGAGCACAGCGUUGCCCAUGUGGAACAUUUCCGUGCUGAUGAUCUCACGGUAAGUGAUGACAGACACUAGGAAAAUCAUCACUACACAGAGCUAGGGCCAGCAGGGAGCGCUAUCAGAGCUGGAAGGCAGGUCCACCAGGGCCCCAGCCCACCCUGGAGGGGACCAUCCUUCCAGAGCAAGGACCCAAUAUCCCCUCAUCAUAAGCAUGGAUGCAGAGCUGGUGAGUUGGCCAGGAAGA